AAAAUUUAGACCAAAGACGUUAAGGGCCUUUACAGAAAUAUUAAGUAGUGACAGUCACAUUGACAAAUCUAUUCAAAGUGGCCAUUAUUAUUGGAGGAAAAUGGAACUGCCAAAAUGAGCCUUGCUGAAAUUCAGACAGACAGUGAAAAGCUCAUCUCUAAAAUCUGAAGAAUAACACAGCUUGGGUGUGGUUAUGUUUGAUGAUUCAGCACAUCGAAUUAAAUCGUAAAAUGCCCUGCCUGCUGAUUCUGGUGUCCGUGCUGCCUCAGCCAUGCCCUCCAGAUGCAGGAGUCGGCCUCCUUUGCGAAGGUCAAGGAGGGAAGAACACAGAAGACCUCUAUGUGCCAGCACUUUACAUGCAUUAUUUCCUCUAAAGCAC
rnacentral:lncRNA from 1 species